CCUACGGGUGACAGCAGUCGAGAAUCAUUCACAAUGGGGGAAACCCUGAUGGUGCGACGCCGCGUGGGGGAAUGAAGGUCUUCGGAUUGUAAACCCCUGUCAUGUGGGAGCAAAUUAAAAAGAUAGUACCACAAGAGGAAGAGACGGCUAACUCUGUGCCAGCAGCCGCGGUAAUACAGAGGUCUCAAGCGUUGUUCGGAAUCACUGGGCGUAAAGGGAGCGUAGGCGGUUUCGUAAGUCUGAAGUGAAAGCCGGUGGCUCAACCCGCGGACGGCAUUUGAAACUGCGAGGCUAGAGUGAUGGAGGGGGAAGCGGAAUUCUUGGUGUAGCAGUGAAAUGCGUAGAUAUCGAGAGGAACACUCGUGGCGAAGGCGGGUUCCUGGACAGUGACUGACGCUGAGGCUCGAAGGCCAGGGGAGCGAACGGGAUUAGAUACCCCGGUAGUC
rnacentral:rRNA from 1 species